GACUACAAGACAAAGAACAUUUUUAGGAGAUUGUGAUCUGAUUUGGGAGGGCUUCUUUUUAUGGUAUUGUAAUUUAAACAUUUAUAGAAAGACUAAGGGAAUUAUCCAAGCCAAGCAUGGUUCAUUGGGUAGUAGCCAUGCUUGGCAGAAACUCACCUCUAAAAGGAGAGUCUCUCUCAUUUUGCUGGAGAUUUUUGAGAUUGUAUUUUCUUCCUCCAUUGUAGAGAAGCUUCAAGCUCUCAAACUGAAACUCUUGUGAGGUUAUGUUCUUUGCUAAGUUUCACCUAGAACUUAGACUUAUUACAAGUUGUCACUUGUAAUAUCUUAGGCU
rnacentral:misc_RNA from 1 species